GUUGAACGCUGGCGGCAGGCCUAACACAUGCAAGUCGAGCGGAUGAAGGGAGCUUGCUCCUGGAUUCAGCGGCCGACGGGUGAGUAAUGCCUAGGAAUCUGCCUGACAUUUGGGGAUAACGUCCGGAAACGGGCGCUAAUACCGCAUACGUCCUGAUGGAGAAAGGGAGGGAUCUUCGGACCUCACGCUAUCAGAUGAGCCUAGGUCGUAUUAGCUAGUUGGUUGGGUAAAGGCCUACCAAGGCGACGAUCCGUAACUGGUCUGAGAGGAUGAUCAGUCACACUGGAACUGAGACACGGUCCAGACUCCUACGGGAGGCAGCAGUGGGGAAUAUUGGACAAUGGGCGAAAGCCUGAUCCAGCAAUGCCGCGUGAGUGAAGAAGGUCUUCGGAUUGUAAAGCACUGUAAGUUGGGAGGAAGGGCAGUAAGUUAAUACCUGGCUGUUUUGACGUUACCAAAAGAGUAAGCACCGGCUAACUUCGUG
rnacentral:rRNA from 1 species